rnacentral:rRNA from 1 species
GCGCAGCAGGCGCGAAACUUUACAAUGUGCGAAAGCACGAUAAGGGAACUCUGAGUGCCUCCUAAGGAGGCUGUUCAGGUGUCUAAAAGCACCUGAAGGAAGGGCUGGGUAAGACCGGUGCCAGCCGCCGCGGUAACACCGGCAGCCCAAGUGGUAGCCACGUUUAUUGGGUCUAAAGCGUCCGUAGCCGGCUGGGGUAAGUUCCUUGGGAAAUUUGGCUGCUUAACAGUCAAGCUUUCAGGGAAUACUGCCCGGCUUGGGACCGGGAGAGGUCAGAGGUACUCCAGGGGUAGGGGUGAAAUCCAUUAAUCCUUGGGGGACCACCGGUAGCGAAGGCGUCUGACCAGACCGGGUCCGACGGUGAGGGACGAAGGCUA